AUUGAACGCUGGCGGCACGCCUAACACAUGCAAGUCGAGCGGUAACAGGAUGUGUAGCAAUACACAUUGCUGACGAGCGGCGGACGGGUGAGGAACACGUAGGAACCUACCCUCAAGCGGGGGAUAACUAAUGGAAACGUUAGCUAAUACCGCAUAAUCUCGGAAGAGAGAAGCUACCCGCAAGGGCGGCACUUGAGGAGGGGCCUGCGUCCGAUUAGCUAGUUGGUGAGGUAAUGGCUCACCAAGGCAAUGAUCGGUAACUGGUCUGAGAGGACGACCAGUCACACUGGGACUGAGACACGGCCCAGACUCCUACGGGAGGCAGCAGUGGGGAAUAUUGGACAAUGGGGGCAACCCUGAUCCAGCGAUGCCGCGUGAGUGAAGAAGGCCUUCGGGUCGUAAAGCUCUUUAGGUUGGGAAGAAGUGUAUUAGGUUCAUAGCCUAGUAUGUUGACGGUACCGACAGAAUAAGCACCGGCAAACUCUGUGCCAGCAGCCGCGGUAACAC
rnacentral:rRNA from 1 species